rnacentral:rRNA from 1 species
GACGAACGCUGGCGGCAGGCUUAAUACAUGCAAGUCGAGGGGCAGCACAGAUAGCAAUAUUGGGUGGCGACCGGCAAACGGGUGCGGAACACGUACACAACCUUCCUUUUAGUGUGGGAUAGCCCAGAGAAAUUUGGAUUAAUACCACAUAGUAUAUUGGAGUGGCAUCACUUUGAUAUUAAAGAUUUAUCGCUAAAAGAUGGUUGUGCGUAUGAUUAGGUAGUUGGUAGAGGUAACGGCUCACCAAGCCUUCGAUCAUUAACUGGUGGGAGAGCCCGACCAGUCACACGGGCACUGAGACACGGGCCCGACUCCUACGGGAGGCAGCAGUAAGGAAUAUUGGUCAAGGGACGGAAGUCUGAACCAGCCAUGCCGCGUGAAGGAUGACGGCCCUCUGGGUUGUAAACUUCUUUUAUGUGGGACGAAAAAGGGCCAUUUUUGGUCAACUGACGGUACCAUAGGAAUAAGCACCGGCUAACUCCGUGCCAGCCGCCGCGGUAA